AGUGGGAGCGGGCUUGCUCGCGAUUCAGGCGACGCGGUGAACCUGCACUACCGCGUUGCUGCCAUCGCGAGCAAGCCCGCUCCCACA
rnacentral:antisense_RNA from 1 species